AGCCUUUUGAAUCCGUGCUGAGAUUUCGUCAGACACCAACCCACUAGAGCUGAUCAAACUUCCAAGAUUAGUGAAGUU
rfam:Schistosoma rodhaini strain Burundi genome assembly, scaffold: SROB_scaffold0018234